rnacentral:rRNA from 1 species
GAUGAACGCUGGCGGCGUGCCUAAUACAUGCAAGUCGAGCGAACAGAUGAGGAGCUUGCUCCUCUGACGUUAGCGGCGGACGGGUGAGUAACACGUGGAUAACCUACCUAUAAGACUGGGAUAACUUCGGGAAACCGGAGCUAAUACCGGAUAAUAUAUUGAACCGCAUGGUUCAAUAGUGAAAGACGGUUUUGCUGUCACUUAUAGAUGGAUCCGCGCCGCAUUAGCUAGUUGGUAAGGUAACGGCUUACCAAGGCAACGAUGCGUAGCCGACCUGAGAGGGUGGUGGGCCACGCGGGAGGGGGGACGGGGACAGGAGUCCAGGGGGGGGAGCGAGUGGGGACUCUUCGGCAGGGGGGGAAGGCUGGGCGGGGCAGGGCGGGGGGGGGGAUAGGGGUGUUGGGAUGGGAAAAUUGUUUUAUGGGGGAAAAAAAAUUGUGAAAGGAACUGGGCAGGUCUGGAGGGUACCUAAUAAAAAGGCCACGGCUAACUCCGUG